rnacentral:rRNA from 1 species
AUUGAACGCUGGCGGCAGGCCUAACACAUGCAAGUCGAACGGUAACAGGAAACAGCUUGCUGUUUCGCUGACGAGUGGCGGACGGGUGAGUAAUGUCUGGGAAGCUGCCUGAUGGAGGGGGAUAACUACUGGAAACGGUAGCUAAUACCGCAUAACGUCGCAAGACCAAAGAGGGGGACCUUCGGGCCUCUUGCCAUCGGAUGUGCCCAGAUGGGAUUAGCUAGUAGGUGGGGUAACGGCUCACCUAGGCGACGAUCCCUAGCUGGUCUGAGAGGAUGACCAGCCACACUGGAACUGAGACACGGUCCAGACUCCUACGGGAGGCAGCAGUGGGGAAUAUUGCACAAUGGGCGCAAGCCUGAUGCAGCCAUGCCGCGUGUAUGAAGAAGGCCUUCGGGUUGUAAAGUACUUUCAGCGGGGAGGAAGGGAGUAAAGUUAAUACCUUUGCUCAUUGACGUUACCCGCAGAAGAAGCACCGGCUAACUCCGUG